AGGUUGGCCAUGACUAGAAAUUCUAAAGAUCACAAAGACCAACCUGUCCCUCCAACAGCCAACACCAUACAGGGAAAUGAAAAUAAAAUGCUCACCUCUGACCUGCUCCAUGGAUCACCUCAUGGUCUACACUCAUGCGAUGCAUCUGUUGACAUCAACAAGACUGACAGAAAAGGCUAUCAGACUCCACCAAAAAGCAUCUAGACCUUCAACCACAGGAAGACCGAGAAGUUGAAAUACUGAAAGAGGCUUAGCAAGGGGAGUAAGAGAAAAAUAAUUUUGAGUGCUUCACAUGCCAUUAUCCUCAUCCUCUCACUUGUAUGUGAAAUGCAGCUGAAAUAUGGAAUACAUGAUAUAAGUUCCUAGCAGUUUGCUGCAAAGUCCCACUUACAGGAGCUGAGAGAAGAAAAACAGUGGAAAAACAAACAGCAUUUUGGACAGGCAGAAUACUAUUGAACUGCUGUCACCUAGGUCUGUAAACUGAACCUUGCAAGUACUCUUACUCUAUUUUAAGCACAUUCUAAGAGGAAUGGGAACCUGUGGGAUUGGGUCUCAGUUUAGGCUCUGGGAUUAGCAUUCCUCUUGUGCAAAGCACCAUGGAAUUUUAAUGAAUACAAGUAGUCGGAAUUUCUGCUGUCUCCCAGAGAUUUGUUUAUUUACUAAUUUAGAGGCAUGUUUAACAUCUUUGCUUCGGUGAUGUAUCUGUACCAGCACUAUACUAAGGCAAUGGUUAAAAAACAG